rnacentral:rRNA from 1 species
AUUGAACGCUGGCGGCAGGCCUAAUACAUGCAAGUCGAACGAGUGGCGGACGGGUGAGUAAUGUAUGGGAAACUGCCUGAUGGAGGGGGAUAACUACUGGAACCGGUAGCUAAUACCGCAUACCAUCAGAUGUGCCAAGAUGGGAUUAGCUAGUCGGUGGGGUAACGGCUCACCAAGGCGACAAUGCCUAGCUGGUCUGAGAGGAUGACCAGCCACACUGCAACUGAGACACGUUCCAGAAUCCUACGGGAGGCAGCAGUGGGGAAUAUUGCACAAUGGGCGCAAGCCUGAUGCAGCCAUGCCGCGUGUGUGAAGAAGGCCUUCGGGUUGUAAAGUACUUUCAGCGGGGAGGCGUUACCCGCAGAAGAAGCACCGGCUAACUCCGUGCCAGCAGCCGCGGUAAUUC